rnacentral:rRNA from 1 species
CGGGGUGAGUAACGCGUGGAGAACCUGCCGUAUACUGGGGGAUAACACUUAGAAAUAGGUGCUAAUACCGCAUAAGCGCACAGAGCCGCAUGGCUCAGUGUGAAAAACUCCGGUGGUGUAAGAUGGAUCCGCGUCUGAUUAGCUGGUUGGCGGGGUAGAAGCCCACCAAGGCGACGAUCAGUAGCCGGCCUGAGAGGGUGAACGGCCACAUUGGGACUGAGACACGGCCCAAACUCCUACGGGAGGCAGCAG